AUGAAGUCUACAAUGGUUGGAGCGGAGAGGUAUGGAGAGUUAAGCGGAGGGUAUGAUGCGGAUGAGAAUGGCCGCCGAUGUGUUGGUGAAGAAGAGUCGCACCAUGAGAGAAGAACGAAGAAGAGGAGUGAUAUCGGAUGGAGACGAAAUUGGGAUAAUAUCAAAGCUCUUUUGGUGAUUUGUGCAAGGUGGAAGGCGCUUUAUCGCUCGAUGUGA